rnacentral:lncRNA from 1 species
ACGAGCGGACACUAUCAAGUUAUUGCUGUUAUGUAUUAUUUCAUACUUACAAAUGUAACAAAAAUAAUAUACAUUUUUUUUUUUUAGAAUAUUGACCAUAAAAUAAUUAGUUUUUGAGGAGCGUGGAACUGGAGAACCGCAACUUAAGAUCGAAAGAGCCACAUGUGGCUCGCGAGCCGCAGGUUGCCGACCCCUGAGUUAAGUCAAUUAAUUUUGCUAAGAUGUAUAAUUUUUUUUAUGUGCAUUGCGGAGGUCAUAAGAAUAUGUUGAUUAACAAAUACUAUAAAUUCCUUGACAAAAAUUGGAAAUUUUAGGUUUAGGUUUUAGUUGCAUUAUAUUUAUAUUGGAGCUAAUGAGAAAUGCUCAUUUUGAAUAACGGCAAUGGCAUGUUGGCCAAAUUAUAUGACAUUAUAUUGAAAAUCUAGGACACUGGGAAAUCGAAUACAUUUUGGCAGCCGUUCUUUUUGGCCAGUCUAUAGAACAACUAUUAAUUGCGUGCCGAUUUUUAACGUUAUGAAUUAUGGGAUGUAAUUGAUUUUUUUUGUUUAAAUAAAUAGUAAUUGUUCUUAAACAUAGUUGAUUUAUAUUUAGGACAUUAAAUUCAUUAUAUAGUUUUUUUGUUAAUAUUUAUAAUUGUUUUUGCAAGCGAUUCUAAUAAUAGUAAUUUGAAACUUUUAAAGCUGGGAUAGAGCAUGAUAUACAUUAGAAUUGUACUUAAAACAAUUUAAAUAUGUAUCACCGAUUUUGACAAUAAUUUGAUAUUUGCCUCGGAGAUGAGAAUAUGUUAGGCAAACUUUUUAUUAAUAAAAAUACAUAGUUUUGCAAAUAUAACGAUAGUUGAUAAUAACGUAUGAGCAUAAUAGUGAUUUAUAAUCGGUUAAUAAUCGAACCAUAGAUGUUAUCGCAAACGAACACGCCAUAUCACCUCAUUCUACAUAAACGACUUUCGCCUGAAUCCCUAUAAAAAUACGUGCACGAUUAUGAUUUUAGUAUAACACAGUAUUGAGCUAUUUUAUUCUCUGGUGAGUAAAUUAUCAUAUGAAACGUUUUCAAAUGUGUGACCAAAGUUAACAGUUUUUUAUUUUUUUAUUUGCAGUCGCUUCUUGACUCCACGAAAACUAAUCAAAAUCAAAAAUGGGCGCAGAAAAAGUAUCCAUGAACAUCGUCGUAGUCGGACAGGUCCAAUCAGCCAAAGCCGCCAAAAUCGUCGCCAAGGCCGCACCCGCCGACAGUCGAUUGAUGGUAAGUUUGACCGCGAGUUUACUUGUUUUGUUUGACUUUUUUCGUUUGUUCCAUUAGACUUCAUUAUGAUUGUACGCAUUAAUUAAUUCAUAUCGCAUUCUGUUAACCAUUUUACUAUGACGAUCACAGUAAAAACUUAUACGAAAUAUUAUUUAUCAAUCGAUAAAUGACUUUAAUAUAUCUAAACAUGUAUUAAAGCGAAUAUAAUAAACAAUAUCGCUUUAUUCUUAAAGCCUUUUUUUAUAAUAUAUACAAUGAAUGACAAAUAUUAACAAAUCGAGGUGACAUGUUUGACAUGAGAUAUUUUGAAUAGAGAAUCGUCGCGCUUUUUUUUUUAUUUUUUCUCGGUGCCUAAGUAUGUGAAGUCAUUGAUCAUGAUGUCGUUUGUUUGUUUCAGAACUGUUAACUCAUUUACUCAACUCAUCGAUUACACACUCAAAAAUGCCAUAGCCCAUACAAAUGUACACAAUAUUAUGUAACUUAUAAAUAUAAUGUAAAUUGACAUACAAAAAUAAACCAUUCUUUCCGUAA